rnacentral:rRNA from 1 species
CGUGUAGGCGGUUUAAUAAGUCAGAUGUAAAAGCCCCGGCUCAACCGGGAUGGUCAUUUGAAACUGUUAGGCUUGAGUGCGAGAGAGGGUAGUGGAAUUCCCAGUGUAGCGGUGAAAUGCGUAGAUAUUGGGAAGAACACCAGUAGCGAAGGCGGCUACCUGGCUCGCAACUGACGCUAAGGCGCGAAAGCGUGGGGAGCAAACA